GACAGAUACCACUCUAUGAUACAACGCUGUGAUACAACACUGUGAUACGACACGGACGCACAUCAAAUUACAAACGUGAAAUACUUUGCAGAAGAAUAGUGGAUACAUGGUAUAUGCAUAAAUAUAUAUAUAUAUUCACAAUGUUUCAGACAGAAACAGUUCUUAAAGUUUCUUAAAACGGUGUAUAAAUAGAAACUUGUGUAUAUGUUUUUACAUUAAAAAGGUGUCCAUAACGUUAAAGACGGUGUGUAUAUGCUUUCUCUAGUCGCUAUGAAUUAGCUUAUUCUUUCAGCAAUAUAAAAAAUGUCAUUUUCGCGAACGUUAGAGUAUAAUUAUCCAGAUAUUAUCAGAUAAACAAAUUAGUAGAAUUGCAUUAAUAUAUUUAAUAAAAGCACUUCAUGUACAUACGUACACCAAAUAUUUCAUCCUAACAGUCUAUUAAUUAAAAGCUAAUUGGUCGAAAUUUAUUUUUUGCACUCAUCAGAAUUGGUCUGUUUCAUAAUUCCUUCUAUAUAAAAUAAAACAAAACACAGAGUAAAGAUAUUUAGAAAUAAAAAAAAGUUAUGUGAGCAUUGAUAAUCAAUAAACUAUACAUUGGACUGCUAAUUUCCAUGUCACCAUGAAAGAUAUUUUAUUAGUAAGCAUUCUAUGUACAUGCCAAUCGAAAAAUGUUUACACGUUUUUCUCUAAUACAUACAUACAUGAAUAUAUAUAUAUAUGUCUAUAUGUGUGUGGGAGUAUGUAUAUAUAUAUAUAUAUAUAUUAAUAUAUAAAUAUAUAUAUAUAUAUGUAUAUAUAUAUAUUAAUAUAUAUAUAUAUAUAUAAUAUAUAUAUAUAUAUAUAUAUAUAUAUAUAUAUAUAUAUAUAUAUAUAUAUACAUAAUAUAUAUAUAUAUAUAUAUAAUAUAUAUAUAUAUAUAUAUAUAUAUAUAUAUGCAGUGUUAUAUACAUAUAUAUAUAUAUAUAUAUAUAUAUAUAUAUAGGAUAGAUAGAUAGAUAGAUAGAUAGAUAGAUAGAUAGAUAGAUAAUGGGAUGAAUGUCUGUGUAUGUCGGUGUAAGAAGAAACUACAUGCAAUAUUACUGCCAGUUUAUAUGAUAUUUUAUAACAUUUUUACUACUCCAAAAUCAAUAAUGCGUAUAUAUGUUAUCAUGAAGAUGAAUAGGUAUAAUGUCGGUGAAUCUAGACUUACACCUUGGAUAUUCAAGUUCAAUAUAUAUAAAUUUCUUUGAUAUCAUAUUCUUUAGUUAAUUGUAGGGGCUUAAUUAUGAAUAAACUUGAAGUUAUAAAUAAGAUAUAAAUUCAAUCCACAUUACUUUAUGUAACAGUGAUAAUUACACGUGCAUAUAUCCUCAAAUUAUAUAGGGAUACAUGUGCAAAUGUAUAGUUACGGGAAGAGCUAACAAAGGUCAUAUACCCGUUGUAUGACACGCAGAUCAUUCUUCAUCGAUAUAUCUUCUUUUACCGUCUUAUAGAUUCUCCACGAUUUGGACUGCAACACUGCUGUUGCACUAACCCGAUUAUCUAUUGUGACUAUCUAUCUAAAAAUAUACGUUAUAGUUCCGCAAUUUAAUGCUGAAUAGCCUACUCGAAUUCGUUUCAAAUGUAGCACUUUAGCUCACUUCUAUCAAAUUGAAAUUGCCUGUCGCAAAAUUGCACGCUGCCAUAACAACAUAGAUAUCGAAUUGACCAUAGAACAACAUGAAAUGGCUUGCUCAAGAAUACUGUGAAUUCCCAGGCCCGGAAUGGAAACCGUGAUCUUGCGAUCAUGAAUUCAAUAUCCUAAUUUAGUUAAUUAACGUCAAGUAGUGGAAAUAUAUCUCGCAGAAAUGUUUAAAUCCCAUAUGUCGUAUAAAUGCCUCUAAUAAUCGUUUCUACUAUAGGCAUACGGCCUGAAAUUUGUGGGGAGGAGCCAGUCAAAUCGAUUGAACCCAGUACGCAACUGGUACUUAAUUGAUCGUCCCCGAAAGGAUGAAAAGCUAAGUCGAUCUCGGCAGAAUUUGAACUCAGAACAUAAAGACUUAAUAAUAAAAACUGAAUAACUCACCUUAUUUAUUUGAACCGUCUUGUAUACAAUCCAAUGAAGCGAACUCAGGAUUUACCCAUGGAUGAAACAUAUUGAAAUUGGUUACCUCAUAUAGUCCCAGGUUAUUCCUUACUAUCCGAUGCUGUUAGCCACAAAUUGGAUUAUACUAGACUGUAAAUUCUCUCUUUCCAUCUUUCAUAUACCAUAUAUAUAUAUAUAUAUAUAUAUAUAUAUAUAUAUAUAUAUAAUCAUAUCAGAUAUUUAUAUAUAUAUAUAUAUAUAUAUAUAUAUAUAUAUCAUAUCAGAUAUUUAUAUAUAUAUUUUUUCUCAAAACAACUUGUCCGACCGUCACAUAGGCCUGCCCUUUGACAAACACUGUUUUAACCUAAGUUUGAGACACUAGCUAAAGAAGAAAUAAAGAUAGACUUUUUUCCUCAGUCUGAAGAAAAACGAUUUUAUUCACACAAAUAUGCAAUCGAAGAAUUCAAAUUACCAGUAAUGAUAAGGAUGUUGACUGGGUGAACACAAGCAUGGUUUAAACAGUAAGCUUGGCAGGAAAGAAACGUGUCUUUAAGCAGUACAAAAACAACAAAAAAUGGAAGGUGCAGUUAUGUACAGGUUGACGGAAGAAAUGUCAAGUUUGGAGAAAAUAUCUCUUUUGCAUAUUUUUUGUCUCUUAAAUAUACUGCAUUUUGUGGCAUUAUUUCAAGCCAGCCGGCUUUUUUUUUUUUUGUGCAAAUUGUAUCGAUCGCAACAGCUGAUGUACUGGCGCGUACAAAUGCACGUUCCCAUGGCUUUAUCGGUCGCAUUCUCUCCUGGAAUCGAUUUUUGUAAUUUUUUCAAGACUUAUACAUGCCCGGCAGAAACGUUAGCCCGCCGGGCAAAAUGCGUAGCCGUAUUUCGUCUGCCGUUAUUUUCUGAGUUCAAAUUCUGCCGAGGUUGACUUUGCCUUUCAUCCAUUCGGGGUCGAUUAAAUAAGUACCAGUUACGCACUGGGGUCGAUAUAAUCGACUUAAUUCGUGUGUUUGUCCUUGUUUGUCCCUUCUGUGUUUAGCCCCUUGUGGGUAGUAAAGAAAUAGGUAUCUACAUCUGAAAUUUGAGCGCAUUCGGAUGGUGGACGCCCGAGAUCCUAAAAGAUACACACACACACACACAGACAACGGAAUUUAUAUAAUAUAUAUAUAUAUACAUAUAUAUAUAUAUAUAUAUAUAUAUAUAAAGAGAGAGAAAGAGAGAGAGACAUACAUCACACGUACAUACAUACAUACACACACACUCACACACACACACAAACACCCAUAUAUAUAAACGCAUAUAUGAAAACAUAGAAACACGUCGCAAUGUUUUGUCUCUAGGUUGUCGCACUGUAAACUUCAACUAAGACCAUAUUCACGUCAAUGAGAGGAAUGCGAUUGCAAACAAAUGUACCUAUGUUUCCAUAGGAAUGGGAAAUGCAGAGCCCGUUUUUUGUUUUUGUCAGUGCACCCACAAAUCUAAAUUUAAAUGUUUACACCUGGAUGCCCGAGGUUCUGUAUUAAUGAGGCUUCAAAGAACCAAGUGGCACAAUAUGGGCUGGCGACAAUUACGAAGCAGACGCUAGAAGAAGCAACUCUAGUUACCUGGGUAGUAAAAGCUUUGGUGAUGAAAGUUUCACUGACAAACAUUCCUGCAGGAUGUGCAAGCCUAGGCUGGUAUGCUCAAUGUUGAGCAUGGAGAACACCAGCGGAUUCAAGUGCAGUGUAAAGUGUACAAAGAAAUAUUAUAAUCUUUUGUAUUGCACUGUUUAGAGGCAUGGAUACUAUUAAAAGUACGGGGGGAUUACAGGUUGUAUUCGCCACGAGAACAGUGUAACAGAUCACUACCGUCGCCUAGGAAACUUAUAUCGGAUUCUAUAUAUCAUCAGUUUCACAGAAAAAAGUGAAACUUAUUGAUUUCGAAGAAAAGUCUUCCAAUAUAAGCGAGUGAACAAGGAUGAAGAAAUCAUGGUUAACAAUAGUCUACUCAAAACUGACAUACGCCACGAAACAGCAGGGAUAUUGCCGCAUGAGAUAUAAAAAUGGGUCCUAACUCCACUUGUUGUUGUUUGUUCCUUUUCGAGCCAUGCCUGGCUCAUAGGGCCGGUUUCCCGGUUUCUUGGCGUAUAGGUUCCCCACCUGGACGGGACGCCGGUCCGUCGCAGGUGAGCUGCAAGAUGCAGGAGGAAAGAGUGAGAGAAAGUUGUGGCGAAAGAGUCAGCAGAAGUUCGCUAUUACCUUCUGCCGGAGCCAUGUGGAGCUUAGGUAUUUCGCUCAUAAACACACACAUCACCCGGUGUGAGAUUCGAACCCGCGACCCCUCGACCACGAGUCCGCUGUUCUGACCACUAGGCCAUGUGCCUCCACUUGCGAACACGUAAUAUUAAAUAUCCCGGAUCGAUUCAUUGUGAUACUCAAAUACUUCAUUGUGCUUGCAUCCCUAAUUAAUAUGAAACGUAGUCUCUUUCAUAGACGCUGAUAUUGCUAUUGUUAUUAUAUGAAAGCUAUCUACUUAUAAAGUAUAUAUGUUAUAAUCAGAAAAAACUUAUAUGAGCAGUUUCUGCCAUUAACUUUAGCAUGCGCUCUUUCAAAUACGUUUUUUUUAUGUAUUCUGUCCAUGUAUAACUUUCGAAACUGAAAUAUUUGUGUGAGCUGUGAGAAACAAAGUAUUACGGCGCCAUGAUAAGCUAACAGGGAAGCGAAGCUGAUAAGAAAGUUAUAUGACGGAUUUGUAGGAUCUGGUGAUUCUACUUGGAUAUAUUAUCUGAAGCGACAGCAAGACGUGUCUUAGAAUAUCAAAGAAAUGUGGUAGUGAGGGGAAGAUCAUACACCAGCAUCCCUUAUUAUAUCCAUUAUACCUAAACGACGAUAAACGAGUACGUUUUCCUCGUAGAUAGUAUUUUCCGUUCUUUCAGUUAGAAAAAACAAAAACAAAAACAAACAAAUAUUAUGAGGCAAUGGGAUGAUAUACGAUUAUGUUCUUCGUAUAACAUAUAGUAUUUUUUCAAAUUCGUUAUUUUUCUUCCUUAUACAUAUAUUUGAUGUAUUGUUUUAUAUUUUCAGUAAUGGAAUUUGACAGCAUAAACUUAAGACAUCAUUAUAAAGUUAGAGUUUCGAUAUCUAUAGUCAGGAUACAGUUAGAUUUUAUCUGUUUAUAUGUAAUAUACCAUUGAGUUUUUUCAAUCUUGGAGAAUGACAAUUUAUUAAACGUUGGAACAUGUAAAUGGUGCAUACCUCUAAUUUUUUCUUACUAAUUCCCUGUGCAAUAAAGAUUUGCACUUAAUAACAAGCCACGAAAAUCUUUACAACAUUCUAUAUAUCAUCAGGAAAAUUACACAUGUAUUACAAGAAUGCAUAAAUCACAACAUACUUGUUCAUAAGUGAAAUAAGUCUCUUGAUAAUAUAAUAUAUUGGCGAGCUUCUCUGACCUACCCAACCUCAGCUUUGUUUUUCUUUGUUACUAGCAUUUAAUUAUGUAUCCUUUGUUCAAAUCUUUGUUUAAGAUGUACGAUACUUAGAUUUUUUCCACUUUCAUUACGUUAUUUAUCAGCCAUUGCUUUCUAAAGAAAAAAUAAAAAUAAAAAGCUCAGUUUAAUUCAAUACGCUUUAGGGUUGAUUAUUUUGCCAGAUACUAUAAAACCCAUGUCUCAGAUGGAAUCAAAUUUUUCAAUUACACGAAAAUGCCAAUAGUUAUGUAAAAGAAUCAACUGAAACGUCAGGUCAGAAGCUAUUCCCAAUAGCAUUGUAGAAUAUUUGAAAUGCUGUUUGUUUAAAUUUCUAACUGUAAAAUGUCCCUGAAUGUAUACACAUCGCUAACGAUACAUUAUUGUUCGGCUUGUGCUAAUGAGUUGAAUAUGGUGGUGGUGGGAAGUCAAAUCGUAACCGAGUAAGACCACUUACUCACUAUAGUAAGGCCAUGGAAAUAUUUCAAGACUCCAUGAAAUUUCUAGAUGUAAAUUUGUUUUGAGUGAAUAAACUGUUGCACAGCACAGGAUCCACUUUCAGCGUAAUCAGCUAUAACACCAAUAGCGCAACGUGCGUUGAAACGGCCAGAAGUUGAUUGCAUUUCAGGUUUAUUUAUACAGAUUUACCUUCUCCUAGGAGGAAAUUCCAACGAGAGCUAGGGGCUCCUCACUCCGAGUGGUUCACAUGCUAUACAACCCAUAGCUGGGAUCCUAAAAAGUGCUACUACUCCGGGUUAGAUUAAACCUGGAAAGAAUUUCCACUAAGAUGCGUUUCUACACUACUCAAAAUCAUGGAACUCCCGUAACAGCGCACCAAUUGCGAAUGCAGACACUGAGAAAGAUGCUGUGCAGUAUAUUGGUUUCUUAUCUUCGACAUCCCCAUAGGAAACACUAAAAAUUAACUGUUAUGAAGGGAUUACAGAAAGCUGAAACAACAAUUCAUAGUUAUGUGGACGCGAUGUGAUUACUGGUACAUUAAUUCUGUAUUUUCAGUGUUAAGCAGUAAUACAUGGAGUUCAGCCAAAAUAAAUUAUGGUGAGUGGAUUUAUGGGUGUAUAGUGUUGUAGGCCGGUCGAUCGCUAUAGACAUGCAUGUAUACACACACACACACACACACGCACGCACAGAAACACACGCAUAUAUAAUAAUAAUAAUAAUAAUAAUAAUAAUAAUAAUAAUAAUAAUAAUAAUAAUAAUAAUAAUAAUAAUAAUAAUGCAUCUCUGAUCACGAGCAGAAGAAGUGGGGGAGCAUCAUAGCCAAGUGUUGAGAAGGAUUCUUUGAAGUUUGAAUAAUUCACCUCUGGAAACAUGGGUGUUUCGUUCAACUUCCUUAAACAACCCUUAUUCAGGGACAUUUUGAGCAGGAUGUGUUACUCGACCAGGAGAAAAUUCUAAUUGGGCCCCACCUGCAAGGUCAUGUGCUGUUUAUAUUGAUAUGAGAUCACCAUAUCGCGCACAUAUGGUUGUGAUGCAUGUGCCUAUUGUACCCUUAUCAGACGGGUAGUCAUGAUGGGUAAACUGAGCUUCGUAUAUUUUACUCUAGUGUCACUUUGAUGGCAUGCACUGUUCUCUCACUCAAUAAUAAUAAUAAUAAUAAUAAUAAUAAUAAAUGCCCUGAUGCAGUACCAGGCAGUGGCUCUCAUGGCUUCUGAUCUUAACUGAUUGGAAGUGUCAUCAUGUACAUUGUUUUGUCUUGGUAUAAAAGAUGGGCUACAGCAAAUAUUCUGCUCAAUACCACAGAUUUGCUUGUCAGUUGUUUGACCUUAACCAGUUGAGCAUGUUCCUUGGUGGUUGACAAUAUGUGCAUCUCUUUUCACGAGCAGAAGUAGUGGGGAGCAUCAUAGCCAUGUGUUGAGAGGGAUUCUUUGGGGUUUGAAUAGUUCACCUCUGGAAACAUGGGUGAUUCUUUCAACAUCCUUAAACAACUCUUAUUCAGGGACCUUUUGAGCGGGUUGGGCUACUCAUCCUGAAGAAAAUUCUAACUGGGCCCCACCUGCAAGGUCAGGUGCUGUUUGUGUUGAUAUGAGAUCACCAUGUCACGCACAUAUGGUUGUGAUGCAUGUGCCUAUUUUACCCUUAUCAGUCGAGUAGUCAUGAUGGGUAUAUUGGGCUUCGUAUAUUUUACCCUAGUGUCUCUUUGAUGGCAUGAACUGCUCUCUCAUUCAAUAAUAAUAAUAAUAAUAUAUAAUAUAUAUAUAUAUAUAUAUAGGCGUAGGAGUGUGUGGGUGGUAAGUAGCUUGCUUGCCAACCACAAUGUUCCGGGUUCAGUCCCAGUCCCAUUGCGUGGCAUCUCGGGCAAGUGGCUUCUACUAUAGCCUCGGGCCGACCAAAGCCUUUUGAAUGGAUUUGGUAAGCGGAAAUUGAAAGAAGCCCGACGUAUAUAUGUAUAUAUAUAUGUAUGUGUGUGUGUGUGUGUAUGUGUUUGGGUGUCUGUGUUUGUCACCAAAACAUCGUUUGACAAUCGAUGAUGAUGUGUUUACAUCCCCGUAACUUAGCGGUUCGGUAAAAUAGACCGAUAGAAUAAGUACUAGGCUUACAAAGAGUAAGUCGUGGCGUCGAUUCGCUCGACUAAAGGUGGUGCUCCAGCAUGGCCAUAGUCAAGAUGACUGAAAUGAGAAAAACAGUAAAGUGUGUUAGCUCCUGCACGCAUUUUUUUCUCUCCUUGUUUCUCUCCUCGUUUCUUUUCUGUGUAUCUUUCUGUUGAAGAGCGUAGCCUUGAAACGUAAAAGACUUGUUCUAUUUCUAUUCCUGAACGCCAUACUAAUACAUUUGUUUGUUUGUACUCCACCUGCCUUCGUCUUUUGUUUAUUUUUGUAAACCUUCUCGUUAUAUAUAUAUAUAUAUGUCCUCACCUUCGAAACACGCUGGAGUUGAACCAGGGACAUCUGAUGAAAGGGAAUUUUCCUUGUGUAGUUUCUCUUGUACUCUGUUUUUUCGUUGUAAAAGAAUGGUCCGUUCCAUGCUUGUUUUUACGUUUUCGUUUCUCGUUGAGUUCUACGUCUAUUUGUGGUGUCCUGUACUCACGUAUAUAUAUUUAUAUAUGCAUGUAUAUAUACAUGUAAAUGUAGGUACGUACAUAUAUGUAUGUAUGUAUGCAUAUAUUUUAUUUAUUACACUAUAUAUAUAUAUAUAUAUAUAUAUAUAUAUAUAUAUAUAUAUAUAUAUAUAUAUAUGGAGGCGCAAUGGCCCAGUGGUUACGGCAGCGGACUCGCGGUUGUAGGAUCGCGGUUUCGAUUCCCAGACCGGGCGUUGUAAGUGUUUAUUGAGCGAAAACACCUAGAAGCUCCACGAGACUCCGGCAGGGGGUGGUGAUCCCUGCUGUUGGUGGUGAUCAGCACUCUUUCUUCUGUUGGCCUGCUCGCUUAGCCAGCGGGGUGGCGUCAUUCGAAGGCUAAAACAAUGCGAACACAUUGUGACCAGCGAUGUGUAACAACAUCUGAUGGCCUGGUCGGUCACGUGAUCACGUGAUAUAUAUAUAUAUAUAUAUAUAUAUAUAUAUAUAUAUAUAUAUCGGCAGUGAAUCAUAAAUCCGAGGGAUAAGCAUGCUCUAAGUAAUAGAGCAGUAGAGUAUUUAGAUAAAGAUAGAAAUGGCCGAUUUAUGGGGCCACCCGUGAAUACACGUCCAUACAGGUCUUAGCUUCACAGCAUUUCUUCAAACAUUGAAUCAUUCGGCCUUUGGUCUGUACAUGUAUACGGCCUACUUACACAUUCUAGUUACAAAUGAGAAAGUACCAAUUGAAAUAAAUGUCUGUAUUCCUAUGCUAUAGAUCCUUCAGAUUUUAUCUGAAAUGCAUACGGUAAAAUACUACGUGAUAUUGUAAUGUAUAUUGCUUCCUUAGACUGGAUCAACUUUAACUUGAUCUCUCUUCAACAAAACGUACGAUUAUCAUUUACUGUGACGUUUACUUUUGCUAUUUUCUUUGUGAAUAUUCACUUAAAUGUUUUCACUCUUUAGGAAUCACAUGUGAAUUUUCAACUUUGGGUUAUAGAAUUACUUUGCUACUCUACUUGUUUGAUUUGUCAGAAUUCUACGUAAAUGUGGAGAAUAACGGUGUAAUUUUACAAAACAGGCAGUGGUAGAUUGUAUUAGAACAUCAAGAUUUACUUGAAUUACCAUAAAAUAAUAUUGGCGAUUUGUAUUUCUUAUUUUUCUACAGACGUUACUUUUUAUUGUAAUUUUUAUUUCCCGCGUAUUACAAGGGACGAAAAAGCAUUUAGGUGACACAAAGCUUUUCUUUUCUAAUGAAGAAUACGUGUCAGUAUUAAUUCAGUUUAAAGACGUGCUUAUUUCAAGGAAAAAUUAUUCGAACAUUUCAAUUAAAAGCAUAACGUGCAAUGAUGAGUUAGCAAAUAAUAGACAAUAUGUCUUUCUAAUUGCUGUGCUUUCACUAACUUGCGAUUCCAAGAUAAGCACUCCAACCUACUACUGUUAUUCGAGAAUGUUUUCUGAUUUGAUUAAACGGUGAGCGGGCAGAAUAAUUAAUUAGCACGUAUGGUAAAAUGCCUUGCUUGCAUUUCGUUCGUUUUCACGUUCUGAGUUAAAAUUCUGCCGUAGUUGGCAUUACCCUUCAUCCAUUCGGGGUCAAUAAAAUAAGUAUCAGUUUAGCACUGGGGUCGAUUUAAUGGACUAACACACUUACCUCGAAACUACUGGCCUUGUAAUAAAAUUUGAAAUCAAUAUUUUCUGCGUUCUGUUGAGGAUUUCAAAUAUUUUGCAUUUUGAAGUCUGUUAGUUUGUUGCUAAAUUUCAUGAUUUAAAGAAACUUAUAUAUUGUUUUAAAUGAAACAGUACGAUUGCUUUCGAUCUUUCGCAGAUGCAGCAUCCUGUUCGAGCUUCUAUUGGGAGGUAGGGAGGAUGACCUCCCUUUGCAAAUAUCAUAAGGGCACAGAAAUUAUGUCUACGGACAGCUGGAGACGUGGAUCUCCUGGGGCUAAAAGCGUCAGUAACACCCACCCCCAGUGGCUAGCCACAUUCAGAUGGCUAGUACACUUUACUUAAAGAAUGGUUUGCUAUAAACGACGGUAGUUAUGUUUUGGUCGAAAAUCCAGUUAUUUUCUCCUCACACAAGAGUCUCGAUGCAGUUACAAGAUCUAAUAUAAAUCACAGUCAAAUUCCAUUAUUAACAUAUUUAUUUAAUCUGAACAAAAACAACAGCAGCAGCAAAUUUACCUGAUACAAAUAUUUCCCAAUUAACACGAACAACCAUAAAAGAAACGACUCAGGCAGUAUCAUACACCAACCACGAAGAACAACUGUAGAAGUAUUUAUAUAUUUACAUAUACAUACUUACAUACAUACAUACAUGAAUGUUUACAUACAUACAUGCUCAUAUAUAUGUGUAUCUACAUAUACAGAUGCCAACAUACACAAGUACAAUAUACUCAUAAAAACAUUUAUAAUUAAGUAUACAUAUGUACACAUACAUAUUCACACACACUCUCGUAAACUCACAUAUAUAUGUAUAUAUGUAUAUAUACACACACACACACGCACACAUAUAGAUAUAGAUAGAUUGAUAGGGGCAUGGCUGUGUGGUUAGGGAGUUUGCUUACUAGCUACAUGGUUUCGGGUUCAGUCCCACUGCGUGGCACUUUGAGCAGGUAUCUUCUACUAUAGCCCCGAGCCCACCGACGCUUUGUGAUUGAAUUCGGUAGGCGGAAGUUACUGCCGUGUGUGUAUGUGUGCGUAUAACUGCUCAGUGCCUCUCCGAGAGAGAGAGAGAGAGAGAGAGAGAGAGAGAGGGAGAUAGAUUGAUGGGAAUAUACAUACACAUAAACACCUAUGUAUGUGUGUAUUUGCGUGUGAGUAUACACGUCCUGGUUUUAAUGCAUAGAGAAUACAUUAACAGACUGUAUAGCCGUGAUCUUGCACAAUAAGAAAAUGUUACAUAUAAAGAGCUGAUGCAAUAGAUAAGUAUUAUGCUCAGGUAAAACAGGAUUGCUGCCAUGCAUAAAAACGUUAAGAAAAUGCUAUUCAGGAAAAUGGCAUGUAUUAAACGUCAAAGCAUUCCCAUGAAAUAAAGGAAUCAAUGUAAGGUUAAACGUUCAGUAUUUAUUUUCUCUUGUCACUUGUGAGCUUACUUGUGUAUACGGAAUUUGGAAGAUCGUAAAUUCAAUCAUGAAUUCUGACGUUAUGUGCCAGUUGUUCAUGCAGAAAAUGUUGGAUUAUUCAAAACAUCUGACAAACUCUUCGCUAUUAAUAAGCUGUUCAGUUGCUUGUACUUAUUCACGGUUUCUGUAUAGAAUAUUAUUUGCGUAAUGUCUAAAGUGUAAAUAUUGGAAGAGAAAAAUAUGCUUUCGAAUAGACAGUUAUUCCUCGACUAUCGCAGGUGUUACGUUCCAAACUGCACCUCCACUGCGAUAGGUGAAAGUCCACGAAGUAGAAACAGUACUGUACUGUAUGAUUUUUAAAAUUAUUUUUAUAAUUUGUAUAUAUCAGGUUGAGUAUUAAACAAGCAACGUUUUGAACUAUGACGAAAUGGCACCGGAUUCUUGCAGAGUUUUGAAUUUCCUUUAAACAUUUUUUGGCAAUUGUCAUAUAAUACAGACAUAGACUUGCCUAAAUGCAUCAAUAAAAUAACAUUGAUAAUUUUUUCACCGUUGUUACAAUAAUCUGAAACGGAAUUGUCAAAGCGCGAUAUUCGAGUAAUUUUGCUACAUAACUUCAAAAGAAGACGUAAAACAGCUGAAACUGCUCGCGAUAUCACCGAAACGUUUGGUGAGAAAAUGACCAGGCAGUGGUCAGCUUGAAUAUGGUUUAAACAAUUUCGCAGUAGUGCCCUGAGUCUUGAAGAUCGUCAUCGAUGGUGGACAAUUAAAGACCGUCGUUGAGAAAGAUCCACGUAAAACCACUCGAGAACUGCCAAAAUAACUUCAAUUUAGAUAGAAAACUGCCUACAAAAUUUGCAUGCCAUUGGAAAAUUUAAAAAAAUGAUUACGAAUCACAUGCUCUGAAUGAAAAUAAGAAAAUGUGUAGAUAUGAACUUUGCUCGACGCUUCUAUUUCGUAGUCAGAGCGGUCCAUUUCUCGGCCGUGUUGUAUACCUGCGAUGAAAAGUGGAUUCUGUACAAUAAUAAAAAAAGAGUUCUUCUCAGUGGUUGGACCAGAAUGAAGCACUGAAAACAUAAACUAACCACCAGUUCCUCAAAAAGAAGGUUAUGGCGACUGUUCGAUGGUGUACUGCUGGACUCAAUCACUAUAACUUCUUAAAACGUAUAAAAAAACAUUACUGCAGAAACAGAUUGCCAUGAAAUCGCCAAAAUAUGUGAAGAACAGCUAAUCCUCUGUCUCAGACUGGUCAACAAAAGAGGGCCAAUCAUUCUUCAUGACAAUGCACGACCACACGCUUCACUAAUGAUGUUCCAGAAGUUGAGGGAACUUGGCAAUAAAGUUCUUCCUAACUCAGCUCAUUCCCCCGAUAUUUUCCUACCGACUACCACUUUUUCAAGCACUUAGAUGGUUUCCUGCGGGAGAAAGAGUAGUUCAAAAAUCAAACCGAUGCUGAAAGUGCGUUCAAAGAGUUCAUCAACUCCAGACCUCCAUAGUGAUACUGACUAGUGGCCUAGUCAUUUAAUGCAUCUAGCAGUGCAUUAACUGUUUAUAAAUUCCAUCCAAGGAUUAUACUUAUAUAUGUAUAUAUAAAUUUAAAAUGAUUUAUGAUUUUGUAAUAAAAUUAUUCAUAUAGGCGUAGGAGUGGCUUUGUAGUAAGUAGCUUGCUUAUGAGCCACAUAGUUCAGUGUUCAGUCCCACUGCGUGGCACCUUGGGCAAGUGUCUUCUACUAUAGCCUUGGGCCGACCAAAAGCUUGUGAGUGGAUUCGGUAGUCGGAAACUGAAAGAAGCCCGUCGCAUAUACGUAUAUAUAUGUACAUGUGUGUAUAUGUUUGUGUGUCUGUGUUUGUCCCCACAACAUCGCUUGACGACCGGUGCUGGUGUGUUUACGUUCCCCUAACUUAGCGGUUCGGCAAAAAUGACCGAUAGAAUAAGUACUAGGCUUACAAAGAAUAAGUCCUGGGAUCGAUUUGCUCGACUAAAAGACGGUGCUCCAGCAUGGCCAGAGUCAAAUGACUGAAACAAGUAAAAGAGAAUACAUACAUACAUACAUACAUAUAGGUAUAUGCACGCGUGUGUGUCAAUCAUUUUUCUCAUUUACAUAUAGACUUAAUCUUAAACAGCCGUCUGCUUAGUAGCAAGGUUGUAACGGAGAGGAUCUUCUUUUGUGCACUAUCUUUCAAAAUUUAAGGUCUUGUAUAUUUGUAUUGACUCAAAUAUCGUGUUAAUGUGUAGCAUAGGAAAUAAAGAGACGCCCUUACAUCUUCCAAAAUUCAAAUUUAAACACAAGGCAGAGCUCCAGCAUGGCCGCAAUCAAAUGACAGAGACAAGUAAACGAACAAAAGAAUACCUUGCUCCAGGCGAUUUGGGAUGUAUUAUGUUGCUCCAAUAGCAAUAGGUAUAUAACUGAAACUGUAUCUUGGUGAGAGGAUUUGUAAACUUCGUAUCAAUGGCCAAUAGAUAUUCCUAAGUAAUUAUAUAUGUAUGCAUGUGUGUAUGGCAUAGUGAUCAUAUAUUCAUUAUUAAAUAUUUAUUAAAGUGGCAAACUGGCAGAAUCGUUAGCACAUCGGGCAAAAUGUUUGCGGCAUUAUCCCUUUGAGUUCAUGUUCCACCGCGGCCAAAUUUGCCUUUCAUUAUUUCGGGGUCGAUAAAAUAAGUACCAUCUGAGUACUGAGGUCGCGGAAAUCGCACUUUUCCUUCCCCCAAAUUUCAGGCCUUGUGCCCAUAAUAGAAAAGAUUAUUAGAUAUUUACUGAGCGUCAGAAUGGCAUAAGCCAAUGCAAGUGAUUCUAUUUUCUUAAAAUUUGUGCAAUGUUUGAAAACAUUGGCAGAUAUAAACUGGACGUUAACAAUAGUAAACUUAGCACUGUGUACAACAGUAGCUUUAAGUUGACCCGGCAAUAUAUACAAGUAUGGGUUCACCGUUGUGCACAUUCAGAAGAGGGUGUGAAAAAUUGUGUUGUAAACGGACCGUUUUCAUUAGUAACUAAAAUGAACGCUAUUAAUGUUAAUAGCCAAUCGAAAUCCGCAUGGUAUCCACUCUAACAUUUAGAUGAUAUUGAAUGAAAUGAAGAUCGACUGAUGAGUAAAAUCUUUGAAUAUAUUUUAACUGUUAUUAUUAUGAAAUAGGAUACUAUGGAAAUUUAUAUCAUUGCUGUAGUUUGCGGCAUAGUGGAAAGACUAUCGAUUAUAUUUUACCACCAAUCAAGCGCUAAUAUAAUAAAAAAUAAUGUAUUUAUUUAUCUCGUAUUGCAUGUAAGCAAACAUUAAAUGGAGUAUUGCUCCUUCUGACAUUUUUAUUAAUAUUGGUAAAAAAAUAUAAAAUCUAAUGAAAAAGAUGUGCCAUUUUGAACUCUGAAAUAAUUCCUUUUACCGUGAGUAGUUUUCAUUCAAUUAUUUUAUUCAUUUUACAAAGUAAUAUACAAGAUAGAAAGAGCAAAUGUGCAAUUGACUGAAUCGAAUACAUACAACUCGCUUAUUUCUAUUUAAUGUAAUUAUCAAAUAGAGUAUUUGUAAAUGCACAAGUAAAUGCACAAAAACAAAAUAUCAAUGCAGUUGUUUAUUGUAUUCUAGUAUGCUAAAAUUCACUAGAGGUCAACAAUUUAAUAUUUAAGGUCUUCAAAAAAUCCUAUCGAUUUCUAAAAACGAUUAUCGCGGAAUAUUUCAAUGUUAAUUUGAUAGCAAAUUAUUUGGAAUGUCACCAGAACAUAAUAGCAUAUGGAUAAAUAUGUGUCAUAUGGUGUCAUAAGGAUUAAAAAAUUAGAACAGCAUUGUUGAAUGAUUACUUAAACAUGUUACUGCAUUUUAUUGUUCGAAGUAUUAGACAUUAUCUUAACCACUUAACCAAUAACAAUUCCGAUACUGUAUGAGAUUUAUUAGUGGGUUUUCGGGCUAAAUUUCACGAUUUUUUAUAUCCCCUUUUCAGGAAUAGCUUGACGUUUUAGUGAAACGUCAAUGGCGUUAGAGAGCAUAACGCUUAAACUUGUAUUUGAGAAAAAGUUAGUAGACAUAGAGGACUGAAAGCCACCUAAAGAGUUGAUUGUAUCAUGAUAAUUCACUCUGGAUAUCAAAAUGCCGAAAUCAUGGCUGCUGAUCGAUGCCCUGUAGACACGGCAAAGACUGUAAGAUGUGACAUGGACUGCCCCACCGAAGAUUAUAAAGCCGUGGCCAUAUGGGUCAUAGCAGACGUUCUUGCUGUGUCUGCAAGUCAAACGUAAUCCCCACAUCUUUGAACAUGGAAGUAGUCUCAAUAAAAACGGCUAUGUGAAGUUGCUGGUGAUUGUGGUCAAGCCCUGGUUGGAGACGAUUGCUGCUGGAAGAAUACAUAUGCGGCAGCAGGAUUUGAGUCUUUGCUAUACUUCAGGAAAGUUUCAGAAAUAACUCCCUGGGAAUUACUACGACUUUACUAUCCUUAAUAUCUGCCCUCCUAAUUUACCUCAUUAUAAUCCCACAGAUUACAAUGAGAGGGACAACUUUGAGAAAGACACCAACCAGUAACAUGAAAAUCGAACUAGUGUUGUAAGACGAAGUAGCUGUUCGGAGAUCUCUCCACUAACACAGUAAGGGAUGCAUGCUCCAGGUUCUGCACCCAUCUUGAAGCCGUGAUGUAAGCUGAGGUUGGCUACUUUGAAUGAAGCCUCCUCUCUCGACCAUACACUUGUUGAUAUUUUUUUAAAAUAUUUUUAGAAAUACGUUUAUUUUGGGAUGGGGCAUUGUCUUUUCUUUUCUUUUCCUUUUAUGCAAUAUCAUUUUUUGUCAAAUUCAGUCUGAGGAUCAUGUGCAUUUCCCGAUGAAGUAUUAUCACAAAUAUAAAUUUAUAAAUAUGCAUUUAGAUAUUCGCUUGUAAAUAAUGAGAAAAACUUAAAACUCCCAAUAACAAAGAAGUAUAUUUCUCUCUAAUUUCCUGCACUGCACUUACAAUUGUCAACAACGAACAUAUUGAAAAGGAAGGUAUUACACGUGGAAUAAGCAACUGAAUAAUAAUCUAAUAAAUGAACUGGCAGGUCCGGUGAUCCUGUCCGCUACUAGUGGGUAGUAAGGGCUCGCUCUCUCUCCUAGCAACGUAUUGUAUAUAAGGGUGCAGAGAUUGCACCGAAAACCAGCUGAUGAAGAGUUCGCCAUGGGGUUCAACUAGUAGUAACAUCCAUCUGCCACUUACAUGUGGCUACUUGCUUUGCUGCUCAUACGUAUUAAUCUAUCUCGUCUUGAGAUUUAUAACUGUCUAUUUUGCCUGUUAUAUAUAUAUAUAUAUAUAUAUAUAUAUAUAUAUAUAUAUAUAUAUAUAUAUAUAUAUAUAUAUAUAUAUAUAUAUAUAUAUUUCAUAAAUGAGGGCAAAGGAAAAAAUUCUAAUGCCAAAUAUGCCGAAAAAUUGGACAUAUUGUCCAUUAACCAUAUAUUUUUUUCACAAUACGCACGCUACUCGAAAAAGGGUCGACAGAAAUUUCUAAAGCAUUCCAUUAUUACCAUAUCGGACCGAUUUCAGAGUUAGCUACUAAGAGCCCUCUCUUCGUCAGUGAUACAUGUGGCAAAAUAAAUAAAUGAGAUACUUACUCAUACCCAUGGAAGAAGCAAAUACUAAGUCAUGGGCAAAUACAUCCAAAAUAGAAAUACUCCAGCCCAUUGAUGAAAUUUUUUUCGAAAAAAUAAUUUUUUUCGAAAAGAAUUUUAUCCUCACAUUUGAUAUAUAUAUAAUGGUAUUUAUAUAAGCUCAAAGCUUAUGGUGAUCACCGUCCAAUGACUAAGGAAAAUAGUCUAAUAAAAGAAGUCAUUCCGAUCCCCGUGGGACUCGAAACCACAUCGCUUUUUACGGCGACUGUGUUAUAUUUACACAAGCGAAUUAGCCGCCCUGUUUUUGACAAAUUUAACAACAAUAUUAGUUCAUAUUUGUUCUGUGUAAAAAGUAAAUAACUUUCUAUAUGCUUCUGGUACGUAUGGUUUUGUUAUACGGUGUC
rnacentral:lncRNA from 1 species